rnacentral:rRNA from 1 species
GAUGAACGCUAGCGGCAGGCUUAACACAUGCAAGUCGAGGGGCAGCGCGAUGUAGCAAUACAUUGGCGGCGACCGGCGCACGGGUGCGUAACACGUAUGCUACCUUCCUCUUACUGGGGCAUAGCCCGGAGAAAUCCGGAUUAAUACCCCAUAAUACCUUGAAGGGCAUUCUUCGGGGUUGAAAGUCACAACGGUAAGAGAUGGGCAUGCGCACGAUUAGCUAGUUGGUGAGGUAAUGGCUCACCAAGGCUACGAUCGUUAGGGGGCCUGAGAGGGUUACCCC